rnacentral:rRNA from 1 species
UGGGGAAUAUUGGACAAUGGGCGAAAGCCUCAUCCAGCCAUGCCGCGUGUGUGAAGAAGGUCUUCGGAUUGUAAAGCACUUUAAGUUGGGAGGAAGGGCAGUAAGCGAAUACCUUGCUGUUUUGACGUUACCGACAGAAUAAGCACCGGCUAACUCUGUGCCAGCAGCCGCGGUAAUACAGAGGGUGCAAGCGUUAAUCGGAAUUACUGGGCGUAAAGCGCGCGUAGGUGGUUCGUUAAGUUGAAUGUGAAAGCCCCGGGCUCAACCUGGGAACUGCAUCCAAAACUGGCGAGCUAGAGUAGGGCAGAGGGUGGUGGAAUUUCCUGUGUAGCGGUGAAAUGCGUAGAUAUAGGAAGGAACACCAGUGGCGAAGGUGACCACCUGGGCUCAUACUGACACUGAGGUGCGAAAGCGUGGGGAGCAAACAGG